GGGAAUUUUGCGCAAUGGACGAAAGUCUGACGCAGCAACGCCGCGUGAGGGAUGACGGCCUUCGGGUUGUAAACCUCUUUCAGCAGGGACGAAGCGAAAGUGACGGUACCUGCAGAAGAAGCACCGGCCAACUACGUGCCAGCAGCCGCGGUAAGACGUAGGGUGCGAGCGUUGUCCGGAUUUAUUGGGCGUAAAGAGCUCGUAGGCGGCUUGUCGCGUCGACUGUGAAAACCCGCAGCUCAACUGCGGGCCUGCAGUCGAUACGGGCAGGCUAGAGUUCGGUAGGGGAGACUGGAAUUCCUGGUGUAGCGGUGAAAUGCGCAGAUAUCAGGAGGAACACCGAUGGCGAAGGCAGGUCUCUGGGCCGAUACUGACGCUGAGGAGCGAAAGCGUGGGGAGCGAAC
rnacentral:rRNA from 1 species